UAAUACGAACCGUACAAACGUUAUUCGGAAUCACUGGGCUUAAAGGGUGCGUAGGCGGCCAUGUAAGUGGGGUGUGAAAUCCCUCGGCUCAACCGAGGAACUGCGCUCCAUACUGCAUGGCUUGAGGGAGACAGGGGUAAGCGGAACUGAUGGUGGAGCGGUGAAAUGCGUUGAUAUCAUCAGGAACACCGGUGGCGAAAGCGGCUUACUGGGUCUCUUCUGACGCUGAGGUACGAAAGCUAGGGUAGCGAACGGGAUUAGAUACCCCGGUAGUCCUAGCUGUAAACGAUGAGCACUUAUCUGGGGAUCCUCCCAUAGGUUCCCGGAUGUAGCGAAAGUGUUAAGUGCUCCGCCUGGGGAGUAUGGUCGCAAGGCUG
rnacentral:rRNA from 1 species